rnacentral:rRNA from 1 species
GACGAACGCUGGCGGCGUGCUUAACACAUGCAAGUCGAGCGAUGAAGCUCCUUCGGGAGUGGAUUAGCGGCGGACGGGUGUGUAACACGCGGGCAACCUGCCUUAUAGAGAGGAAUAGCCAUCCGAAAGGAUGAUUAAUACCUCAUAAUAUUGUAGCUUCGCAUGGAGCAACAAUCAAAGGAGCAAUCCACUAUAAGAUGGGCCCGCGGCGCAUUAGCUCGUUGGUGAGGUAACGGCUAACCAAGGCGACGAUGCGUAGCCGACCUGAGAGGGUGAUCGGCCACAUUGGGACUGAGACACGGCCCAGACUCCUACGGGAAGCAGCAGUGGGGAAUAUUGCACAAUGGGGGAAACCCUGAUGCAGCGACGCCGCGUGAGUGAUGACGGCCUUCGGGUUGUAAAGCUCUGUCUUCAGGGACGAUAAUGACGGUACCUGAGGAGGAAGCCACGGCUAACUACGUGCCAGCAGCCGCCGUAACAC